AUGUUCAUGAGAAAACCAAGGCAGGAAAAAAAUCAAGGUGACCCCAAGAAAAUGGCUUCUCCUCCAAAGGAGGUAGAAGAAGAUAGUGAAGAUGAGGAAAUGUCAGAGGAUGUAGAAGGUGAUAGCAGUGGAGAAGAGGUUGUCAUACCUCAGAAGAAAGGCCAGAAGGCUGCUGCAACCCUACCAAAGAAAGUGGUAGCUUCCUCAACAAAGAAGGUUGCAGUUGCCACACCAGCAAAGAAAACAGCUGUCACUCCAGGCAAAAAGGCAGCAGCAACACCUGUCAAGAAGAUAGUUACACCAGCCAAAGCAGUCACCACACCUGGCAAAAAGGGAGCCACACCAGGCAAAGCAUUAGUAGCAACUCCUAGUAAGAAGAGUGAUGCCAUCCCAGCCAACGGGACAAAGAAUGGCAAGAAUGCCAAGAAGGAAGACAGUGAUGAAGAGGAGGAGGGGGACAGUCAGGAGGACGAUGAUGACAAGGAUAAGGAUGAGGAUGAAUUUAAACCAACAGUGGGGAAAGCAGCAGUUGCUGCCCAUCCCUCAGAGGAUGAGGACGAUGAGGAUGAUGAUGAAGAUGAUGAAGACGACUCUGAAGAGGAAGCUAUGGAGACUAUGCCAGGCAAAGGAAAGAAAGCUGCAAAAGCUGUUCCUGUGAAAGCCAAGAAUGUGGCUGAGGAUGAAGAUGAAGAAGAGGAUGAUGAGGACUAGGAUGAUGAUGAAGAUGAUGACGAAGAUGAUGAUGAAGAUGAGGAGGAGGAAGAUGAAGAGGAUGAGGACAAGGGUGAUGAUGAAGAUGAGGAUGAAGACUAUGAGGAUGAUAAGGAAGAGGAGGAAGAAGAUGAGGAAGAGCCUGUCAAAGAAGCACAUGGAAAACGAAAGAAGAAAAUGACCAAACAGAAAGCAGCCCCUGAAGCCAAGAAACAGAAAGUGGAAAGCACAGAACUGACCACAGCUUUCAAUCUUUGUUGGAAACCUAAAUUUUAACAAAUCUGCUCCUAAAUUAAAAACUGGUAUCAGCAAUGUUUUUGCUACAAACAAGCUUGCUGUUGUGGAUGUCAGAAUUGGUAUGACUAAGAAAUUUGGUUAUGUGGAUUUUGAAUCUGCUGAAGACCUGGAAAAAGCCUUGGAACUUAGUGGUUUGAAAGCCUGGGCAAUGAACUUAAACUAGAGAAACCAAAAGGAAAAGAAAGAGCGAGAUGCGAGAACACUUUUGGCUAAAAAUCUCCCUUACAAAGUCACUCAGGAUGAAUUAAAAAAAAGUGUUUGAAGAUGCUGCAGCGAUCAGAUUAGUCAGCAAGGAUGGGAAAAGUAAAGGGAUUGCUUAUAUUGAAUUUAAGACAGAAGCUGAUGCAGAGAAAACCUUUGAAGAAAAGCAGGGAAUGGAGAUCAAUGGGCGAUCUAUUUCCCUGUAUUAUACUCGAGAGAAAGGUGAAAAUCAAGACUAUAGAGGUGGAAAGAAUAGCACUUGUCGUUUUGAAUCAAAAACUCUGAUUUUAAGCAACCUCUCCUACAGUGCAACAGAAGAAACUCUUCUGGAAGUACUUGAGAAAGCAACUUUUAUCAAAGCACCCCAGAACCAUACUGGCAAAUCUAAAUGGUAUGCGUUUAUAGAGUUUGCUUCAUUUGAAGAUGCUAAAGAAGCUUUAAAUUCCUGUAAUAAAAGGGAAAUUGAGGGCAGAGUUAUCAGGCUGAAGUUGCAAGGACCAAGGAGAUCACCUAAUGCCAGAAGCCAGCCAUCCAAAACUCUUGUUUGUCAAAGGCCUGUCUGAGGAUACCACUGAAGAGACAUUAAAGGAGUCAUUUGAUGGCUCUGUUCCGGCAAGGACAAUCACUGACUGGGAAACUGGGUCCUCCAAAGGGUUUGGCUUUGUAAACUUCAACAGUGAGGAGGAUGCCAAAGCUGCAAGGAGGCCAUGGAUGAUGGUGAAAUUGAUGGAAAUAAAGUUACCUUGGACUGUCCCAAUCUAAGGGUGAAGGUGGCUUUGGGGGUCAUGGUGGAGGCAGAGGUGGCUUUGGAGGAUGAGGUGGUGGCAGAGGAGGCCAAGGAGGAUUUGGUGGAGGCCAGGGAGGCUUUGGAGGGUGAGGCAGCUUCCGAGGAGGCAGAGGAGGAGGAGGUGACCACAAGCCACAAGGAAAGAAGACGAAGUUUGAAUAGCUUCUGUCCCUCAGCUUUCCUUUUCCAUUUGAA